rnacentral:rRNA from 1 species
GACGAACGCUGGCGGCGCGCUUAACACAUGCCAGUCGAGCGAUGAAAUCUUAACAGAACCCUUCGGGGUGAAGAUAAGACGGAUUAGCGGCGGACGGGUGAGUAACACGUGAGUAACCUGCCUUUUACACAGGGAUAGCCUCAGGAAACCGGGAUUAAAACCUGAUGAAACUAUCAAAUCACAUGAUUAAGAAAGUUAAAACUCCGGUGGUAAAAGAUGGACUCGCGUCCCAUUAGCUAGUUGGUGAAGGUAACGGCCCACCAAGGCAACGAUGGGUAGCCGGCCUGAGAGGGUGAACGGCCACAUUGGAACUGAGAAACGGUCCAAACUCCUACGGGAGGCAGCAGUGGGGAAUAUUGCACAAUGGGGGAAACCCUGAUGCAGCGACGCCGCGUGAGCGAAGAAGGCCUUCGGGUCGUAAAGCUCUUUUAUAUGGGAAGAUAAUGACGGUACCAUAAGAAAAAGCCCCGGCUAACUACGUG